rnacentral:lncRNA from 1 species
GCCCACCAACACGCCGCCCAUCCUGGAACCGAUGAGAGUUGGAGAAUCUAAGGUUAAUAGCUCAUUCGCAGGUUUUAAUGAUAGACCUAUAAGUCAUGCUCUCAGCCUUAAUGACCAGGUCAGCAUCACCACCGAGACUCCGCCCACCGAGAAGGACCCAGGGAGCUUUCACGACUCAGACGUGUCAGAUGCUGAGGGCAGCACAGAACCCAAGGAUCAUAAGG